rnacentral:rRNA from 1 species
ACUCCUACGGGAGGCAGCAGUGGGGAAUUUUGGACAAUGGGCGAAAGCCUGAUCCAGCCAUGCCGCGUGCAGGAUGAAGGCCUUCGGGUUGUAAACUGCUUUUGUACGGAACGAAAAGCCUCUUUCUAAUAAAGAGGGGUCAUGACGGUACCGUAAGAAUAAGCACCGGCUAACUACGUGCCAGCAGCCGCGGUAAU